UACGUAGGGACCGAGCGUUGUCCGGAUUCAUUGGGCGUAAAGAGCUCGUAGGCGGCUGCUCAAGUCGAAUGUGAAAACUCGAGGCUCAACCUCGAGCCUGCAUUCGAUACUGGGCGGCUAGAGUCUGGUAGGGGGAUCUGGAAUUCCUGGUGUAGCGGUGGAAUGCGCAGAUAUCAGGAGGAACACCAAUGGCGAAGGCAGCUCUCUGGGACGGUACUGACGCUGAGACGCGAAAGCGUGGGGAGCAAACAGG
rnacentral:rRNA from 1 species